UGGGCAACCUGCCCCUCUCUCUGGGAUAACCCCGGGAAACCGGAGCUAAUACCGGAUACUCCGGCUGGAUCGCAUGGUCCGGCCGGGAAAGGUCCGCCGGAGAGGGAUGGGCCCGCGGCCUAUCAGCUUGUUGGUGGGGUCAUGGCUCACCAAGGCGACGACGGGUANCUGGUCUGAGAGGACGACCAGCCCACACUGGAACUGAGAUACGGUCCAGACCUCCUACGGGAGCA
rnacentral:rRNA from 1 species